UACGUAGGGAGCAAGCGUUGUCCGGAAUCAUUGGGCGUAAAGCGCGCGUAGGUGGCCUCAUAAGUCCGCUGUGAAAGUCAAAGGCUCAACCUUUGAAAGCCGGUGGAUACUGUGGGGCUAGAGUACGGAAGAGGCGAGUGGAAUUCCUGGUGUAGCGGUGGAAUGCGCAGAUAUCAGGAGGAACACCGGUGGCGAAGGCGGGUCUCUGGGCAGUAACUGACGCUGAGGAGCGAAAGCGUGGGGAGCGAACAGG
rnacentral:rRNA from 1 species